UGGGGAAUUUUGGACAAUGGGGGCAACCCUGAUCCAGCCAUGCCGCGUGAGUGAAGAAGGCCUUCGGGUUGUAAAGCUCUUUCGGCGGGGACGAAACGGUCCGUGACAACACCACGGACUAAUGACAGUACUCGCAGAAGAAGCACCGGCUAACUACGUGCCAGCAGCCGCGGUAAUACGUAGGGUGCAGGCGUUAAUCGGAAUUACUGGGCGUAAAGCGUGCGCAGGUGGCUCCUUAAGUCAGAUGUGAAAUCCCCGGGCUUAACCUGGGAACUGCGUUUGAAACUGAGGGGCUAGAGUGUGGAAGAGGGGGGUGGAAUUCCAGGUGUAGCAGUGAAAUGCGUAGAGAUCUGGAGGAACACCGAUGGCGAAGGCAGCCCCCUGGGCUAACACUGACGCUCAUGCACGAAAGCGUGGGGAGCAAACAGGAUUAGAUACCCCGGUAGUCCCUGAGCGGGCUGGCAAGGCGCAU
rnacentral:rRNA from 1 species